GUUGGCGGCGUGGAUUAGGCAUGCAAGUCGAGCGCGAAGCCCCGCAAGGGGUGGAAAGCGGCGUAAGGGAGAGGAACACGUGGAUUAUCUGCCCUCGGGUCCGGGAUAGCUGCGGGAAACUGCAGGUAAUACCGGAUGACAUCUCCGGAUCAAAGGUGUGAUUCCGCCCGAGGAUGAGUCCGCGUCCUAUUAGCUAGUUGGUGGGGUAAUGGCCUACCAAGGCAAUGAUGGGUACCGGGUGUGAGAGCACGACCCGGCUCACUGGGACUGAGACACUGCCCAGACACCUACGGGUGGCUGCAGUCGAGGAUCUUCGGCAAUGGGCGCAAGCCUGACCGAGCGACGCCGCGUGUGGGAUGAAGGCCUUCGGGUUGUAAACCACUGUCAGAGGGGAUGAAAUGCGUAGGGGUACUCUCCUACGUUUGACAUAGCCUCAGAGGAAGUACGGGCUAAGUUCGUGCCAGCAGCCGCGGUAAGACGAACCGUACAAACGUUAUUCGGAAUCACUGGGCUUAAAGGGUGCGUAGGCGGCGGCGCAAGUUGGGUGUGAAAUCCCUCGGCUCAACCGA
rnacentral:rRNA from 1 species